rnacentral:tRNA from 1 species
AGGCCUUUGAUGGAAAAAUAAGUCAGCUGACUCUAAAUCAGUGGAUCGCGAGUUCGAUUCUCGCCAGUCUUA